rnacentral:tRNA from 1 species
GGGGGUGUAGCUCAGUGAUAGAGCGCGUGCUUAGCAUGCACGAGGCCCAGGGUUCAAUCCCUGGCACCUCCA